UACAGAGGGUGCAAGCGUUGUCCGGAAUUACUGGGCGUAAAGGGCGCGUAGGCGGCUUGAUAAGUAGGAGGUGAAAUUUCGUGGCUCAACCACGAAACUGCCUUCUAAACUGUCAGGCUUGAGCACGGUAGAGGCAGAUGGAAUUCCCGGUGUAGCGGUGGAAUGCGUAGAGAUCGGGAAGAACACCAGUGGCGAAGGCGGUCUGCUGGGCCGUUGCUGACGCUGAAGCGCGACAGCGUGGGGAGCAAACAGG
rnacentral:rRNA from 1 species